AUUGAACGCUGGCGGCAUGCCUUACACAUGCAAGUCGAACGGCAGCACGGGACUCGGGCAACUGAGCCCUGGUGGCGAGUGGCGAACGGGUGAGUAAUGCAUCGGAACGUGCCCAGUAGUGGGGGAUAACUAGUCGAAAGAUUAGCUAAUACCGCAUACGACCUAUGGGUGAAAGCGGGGGAUUUUCGGGCAACCGAGAACCUCGCGCUAUCGGAGCGGCCGAUGUCNGAUUAGCUAGUUGGCGGGGUAAAAGCCCACCAAGGCUUCGAUCAGUAGCUGGUCUGAGAGGACGACCAGCCACACUGGGACUGAGACACGGCCCAGACUCCUACGGGAGGCAGCAGUGGGGAAUUUUGGACAAUGGGCGCAAGCCUGAUCCAGCCAUGCCGC
rnacentral:rRNA from 1 species